rnacentral:rRNA from 1 species
UGAACGCUGGCGGUCGGCCUAACACAUGCAAGUCGCACGGCAGCACAGUAAGAGCUUGCUCUUACGGGUGGCGAGUGGCGGACGGGUGAGGAAUACAUCGGAAUCUACUUUUUCGUGGGGGAUAACGUAGGGAAACUUACGCUAAUACCGCAUACGACCUACGGGUGAAAGCAGGGGAUCUUCGGACCUUGCGCGAUUGAAUGAGCCGAUGUCGGAUUAGCUAGUUGGCGGGGUAAAGGCCCACCAAGGCGACGAUCCGUAGCUGGUCUGAGAGGAUGAUCAGCCACACUGGAACUGAGACACGGUCCAGACUCCUACGGGAGGCAGCAGUGGGGAAUAUUGGACAAUGGGCGCAAGCCUGAUCCAGCCAUACCGCGUGGGUGAAGAAGGCCUUCGGGUUGUAAAGCCCUUUUGUUGGGAAAGAAAAGCAGCAGGUUAAUACCCCGCUGUUCUGACGGUACCCAAAGAAUAAGCACCGGCUAACUUCGUG